UUACUCAAAGAGUUUCAACAAUUUAUAACAAAGAGAAACGGUACUCACCUAUUUAAAUUGAAAUAUUGAUCAUUCGCAUUUCAGUUUAAGACUCAAAUUGUUUUACUUAUUCAGCUACUGGCGAAUUCAUGUAUAUUACUAAAAAGGUGUAAAGCAGACUGCAAUUACACAACAGACCCAACUAUUUUCGAAUUAACUCAAGCUAGCAUUUCCUGAUAAACUGGACUAUUACACUUAAUUGUUGAAACUUGUAAUCCUAUGGCACUGACUAUUUGAAACGUUAUUUUCUUUUCAUUAGAGCUGCAAAUUGACAGAAGCAUUAUACAGUCAUAUACCUUAGAUUGACAAGAUAAUCAAGCUCAAACUAUGAAAAUGCUACUAAUUAUGUGUUCUACUAUUCACGUAGAUCUAAAACGAUUCACAAAUCAUCUAUCAACUUAUCAUGAAACUAAUUACCACUAAUGUUCAACUCAUAGUAUUCAUCUGGAUUUACAUUAGAGCAAUUUAUACAGUUCAUUUAAUACAAAAACAGGAACAAAUUUAAACAAUGUCAAGGAGCUAAGUGUUGAAUGUACAGAUCUGGAAAUGAACUAAAUCAGUGCUAACUUCUUCAAAUAACUCAUUUCUGCACAUUUUAACUAUAGUCAUUAGGGAUACAAUUGUGCUCAUAGAGUUUGAGAUUAAGAAAAAGGAGAGAUCGGCAACAGCAGAUAACAGACAACAACAUUUUUGGAGUUCAAACAACGACAAAUACAACCAAUUUCAGCCUAGAAAUGACUCAGCGACCUAGAAAUCUAACGAGACUGAUAUAGCAACCCAAAAACAACGCCAAAAUGACCAGAACAAACCCAAGAGAUCAACACACUCAAACAGAUAAUCCACAAUUGACUCGAAUUAACCAAAUCCAAUGCCUAAAUGACUCGACAUGCCUUCAUCCACCAAUUAUCGAACAGAAACGGAGAUUCCAGUAACUUUGGAUCCUACCUGAGCUAGAAAAUUGAACUGGAUUCUGGAAUUUGAAAAAUGAACUAAGGGAACUAAUGUAACAAUAGUUUUUUUUUUUGUAUUUUUUGAUUUUUUUGAAAGUUUUCUACUGUUUUUUGGUUUUUCUUAUGAAGAAAGCUAAGAUCUAAAGGAAUGUUUUGAUCUGAAAUUUGAAUUUCAAAUAUGAAGCUUGAAGAGUAUUUAUUUGGGGGGAAUUUUUGAGGCUUGCAAAUUUAUUUUCCAAUUAGACUCUACUGCCUUUUUAUAGGCAAAGUUAAAAGGGAAGCUUCUAGAUCUUAUUCACACCUUUCCCCCUAUUUUAUUUCAAAUUUUAUUUAAUAUCCCCUAAUGUAUUGAGUUGCUGCCUAUGUUUUUACCUUAAGUUAUCAAAGUUCUGAUUUGAAACUCAUCUAGAAGGUUCUAGAGCUUCCAAUUCAGUUGCUGAAAGAAUUCAUUGCCCCACAUACCUAUCUACCCUUCAAUGUCCUGUUAUUUACCUAAGCUAAAACAUACUAUGAGUCAAAAGGCCCAAUGGAUUUAAACUGAAUUUGAAUUGGGCUAUUUAAAAAGAUUCAAAGAUGGAUUAAGCCCAUGCAAUGAACUACACAACCAAAAGCCCUUACAAAUUAACACAAACAGGGACACACAAAUAAUGCACAAUUUCCCACAAUUAAACAAGUUAUUGACAGAUUAAUAACCAUAUGCGGAGAAGUAACCAGGCUAUUGAUUUAAAACGACCUAACUAAAUCAAACUAAUCAAUCUAUCAAAGAAUUUAAUCAAUGUUUUAAUCCGCCUUAUUACCAAAAUUUAACAGACCAACACAAAUCGGGGAAUUAACAAAGGAACAUAUCCUAUUAUUACCCGAAGACCAUUCGAAUAUCAUUUUAAUCAACCAGAAAAAAAAGAAAAAGAUGAAGGAGAAUAACCGGGGAUUAACAUUUAACAAGAACCAAGAAAGGAAGAAAUUACCGCUUUAAAUUUGAUACUGUCAGUCAUGCGGAGGUCGAACAGACCCUGGAAACUCGUGUGAUUUCAGAGGGCCAAGCUUGCAUAGCUACGAAGAACUUUGACUGCUAAGUCUGAAAACCCUAGCUUUAGGAUUCGACGAAUUCUGGCGGUAUUUGAAAGAAACCAAGUGGGAAUUUGGGAUUAGGGAGAGAAGGCGACUCCAGGGUGUUAAUUUGGCGAAGUUUGGAGAAGAUAGGGUUUUUGGCGGAUCUUUGAUUUAAUAUUCGAAUAGAUUGGCUGCGUUUUGAGAGAAAAUGGCAUUGGAAAUGGUGAGGUGAUAAGAAAAGGGUUAUGGGGUGUAAAUUUGGAAGGGAAUGGAGCAUCGGCACCGGCGGAAACGAUUUUCGGUCGGCAGCUUACGAUGGAAUGGGGCGGUGUUACAAGUGUACGAGGAAAUUGAAAUUAUCUUUAGGGUUUGCAAGAUUAUGGGACAAUUUUAUCAAAUAUCAGAGAAUGAAU
rnacentral:lncRNA from 1 species